rnacentral:rRNA from 1 species
UACGGAAGGGGCAAGCGUUGUUCGGAAUCAUUGGGCGUAAAGGGCGCGUAGGCGGUCACGUAUGUCUGCCGUGAAAGCGCACGGCUCAACCGUGUGAAGUCGGUAGAAACUGCGGGACUGAGGCUGGGAGAGGUUGGUGGAAUUCCCUGUGUAGCGGUGAAAAUGCGUAGAUAUAGGGGGAGAACACUCGUGGCGAAGGCGGCCAGCUGGACCAGCCCCUGACGCUGAGGCGCGAAAAGCGUGGGGGAGCAAACAGG